UCUCGCCAAUGAGCUGUGCAGCUGAGGGGCGGGGGCGGGGCCAGCCUCGAUCUCGUCCCGUCGCUUCUAUAUAAAUCCACCGAGAGGCUAAGCUCGUCCUUUUCCUCCUUGCGGAGCGGAGGUAGCGGAAUAAAGACAAACUUAUUCUAGAAACUAUGCAGAUAAAGCUUACAGUGAUCUGCUGGCUGCUGCGCAGAAAUGCUCAGGUCCAGACCUUCAUGAGAACAUCAACAAAUUUAGAAGAAUAUUUGUGUUAUUGUGGGUGGUCCUAAAUACAAAAAAUUGAGAAUGUGACUUAGGAGCAUCCAGCAUAUAAUGAGAGUGAACACCAGCAACACUGGGAGAAAUACCAGCCACUCCAGUACAACUUAACUUUAAAAUGAUGGAUAAUUUGACAGUUACAGUAUGCUCAUCUCCCAAGAACAAAUGGCGCUGUUCAGAAAUGUUCAAUGGCUCAUUGUACUGAAGUGAAAUAGCCAAAAAAGUAGAGGGGAAGAAGCUUUUAUUCAGUGAUGAGUUGGAACAUUUGUAUCAACAUCACCUGACAAAUGUGGAUGAUGUGACUGGAAAGAAAUGUAACACCUGAAGAGAAAUCUUUCUGUUACUUGAACAUGGAGAUCAAGGUUAAAAAAAGCAAACAAAAAGCCCAUAACUAAGUUUCUGCUUCCAAAAUAGCUAUUGGAAAUGUUUUACUUUUUUUGAAGCAUCCUGUGCAUUGGAACCUAUCAUUCUCUGUCAGUUCAAAAUGAACAACCUUGUGGAACGCUAACUUCUAAUGAAAAUUUGUCCUAUAAACUACAUGUGAAAUCAGAAAAAUAAAAUCUGUUUUUCUAUAUCAGUCAGGCUUGAAAUCACUCCUGUUUUCAGACGUUCAUUCAGGAGAUUAGUGUGAUUACAGGAAAAUUUAAAAAGUAUUUCAAAACAACUGAAAUAGAGCUUUCUGUCUAGGGAAGUUUGCUCUCAUGAUAAAGAGUAUAUUAAAGACAGUAUGCAAUUCUCUAUAUCAAGAUGCUUCCUAGCGUGUCGGCUGCAUCUUGAGGUGGGUACACAUUUGCUGAUACUGAAAAAGUUUUUGAUUAUUAAUGAUCAGUGACAGAAAUCACAAUCACUUCAUGCAGAAAUUAAGUGUACAAAUUAAUAAAGGUCUUCAAAAUGA